rnacentral:misc_RNA from 1 species
UAAAAAAUUGCCUUUCCACAAUCUAAUUGAAAUAACUUACUGGAUUAUAUAUAAUGUUUAAUCAUGACCAUCCUAUAAGUAGGGAAGUGCAAUCGGUCGGUUUGGAUCCAAACUGAACCGAACCGUAGAAACCAAACAACCGAAAAGCAUAUUGUUGUGAACCAAACCAAACUAAUAGUAAAACUGAAUCAAACCUAACCGAAAA